rnacentral:rRNA from 1 species
CGCCGGCGAGUGGCGAACGGGUGAGUAAUGCAUCGGAACGUACCCAGUAGUGGGGGAUAACUUACCGAAAGGUAAGCUAAUACCGCAUACGCACUGAGGUGGAAAGCAGGGGACCGCAAGGCCUUGCGCUAUUGGAGCGGCCGAUGUCGGAUUAGCUAGUUGGUGGGGUAAAGGCCUACCAAGGCGACGAUCCGUAGCGGGUCUGAGAGGAUGAUCCGCCACAUUGGAACUGAGACACGGUCCAGACUCCUACGGGAGGCAGCAGUGGGGAAUUUUGGACAAUGGGCGCAAGCCUGAUCCAGCCAUGCCGCGUGAGUGAAGAAGGCCUUCGGGUUGUAAAGCUCUUUCGGCCGGGAAGAAAUCGUGGUGGCUAAUACCUGCCAUGGAUGACGGUACCGGACUAAGAAGCACCGGCUAACUACGUGCCAGCAGCCGCGGUAAUACGUAGGGUGCGAGCGUUAAUCGGAAUUACUGGGCGCAAAGCGUGCGCAGGCGGUUGUGUAAGACAGGCGUGAAAUCCCCGGGCUCAACCUGGGAACUGCGCUUGUGACUGCACGGCUAGAGUACGGCAGAGGGGGGUGGAAUUCCACGUGUAGCAGUGAAAUGCGUAGAGAUGUGGAGGAACACCGAUGGCGAAGGCAGCCCCCUGGGUCGAUACUGACGCUCAUGCACGAAAGCGUGGGGAGCAAACAGGAUUAGAUACCCUGGUAGUCCACGCCCUAAACGAUGUCGACUAGUUGUUGGAGGGGUAAAACCCUUUAGUAACGUAGCUAACGCGUGAAGUCGACCGCCUGGGGAGU